AACGCACAUUGCGCCCGCUAGUAUUCUGGCGGGCAUGCCUGUUCGAGCGUCAUUUCAACCAUCAAGCCCUGCUUGUGUUGGGGUCCUGCGGCUGCCCGCAGGCCCUGAAAACCAGUGGCGGGCUCGCUAGUCACACCGAGCGCAGUAGCACAUCUCGCUCAGGGCGUGCGGCGGGUUCUUGCCGUGAAACCCCCCCCCUUCCAAAGGUUGACCUCGGAUCAGGUAGGAAUACCCGCUGAACUUAA
rnacentral:misc_RNA from 1 species